ACAAUUAACUUACGAAAUCACACACGUAUCAUGAGAAGUAAAUCGGGGUGCCAAACGGUCGAUUUGCUUGAUAUGUGGAGGCUAAAC
rfam:Haemophilus somnus 2336, complete genome.